UACGGGGGGGGCAAGCGUUGUUCGGAAUUACUGGGCGUAAAGCGCAUGUAGGCGGCGAUUUAAGUCGGGGGUGAAAUCCCAGGGCUCAACCCUGGAACUGCCUUCGAUACUAUUUUGCUAGAGUGUGGAAGAGGUUGGUGGAACUGCAAGUGUAGAGGUGAAAUUCGUAGAUAUUUGCAAGAACACCGGUGGCGAAGGCGGCCAACUGGUCCAUUACUGACGCUGAGAUGCGAAAGCGUGGGGAGCAAACAGG
rnacentral:rRNA from 1 species